rnacentral:rRNA from 1 species
AUGGCUCAGAUUGAACGCUAGCGGGAUGCCUUACACAUGCAAGUCGAACGGCAGCACGGACUUCGGUCUGGUGGCGAGUGGCGAACGGGUGAGUAAUGUAUCGGAACGUGCCUAGUAGCGGGGGAUAACUACGCGAAAGCGUAGCUAAUACCGCAUACGCCCUACGGGGGAAAGCAGGGGAUCGCAAGACCUUGCACUAUUAGAGCGGCCGAUAUCGGAUUAGCUAGUUGGUGGGGUAACGGCUCACCAAGGCGACGAUCCGUAGCUGGUUUGAGAGGACGACCAGCCACACUGGGACUGAGACACGGCCCAGACUCCUACGGGAGGCAGCAGUGGGGAAUUUUGGACAAUGGGGGAAACCCUGAUCCAGCCAUCCCGCGUGUGCGAUGAAGGCCUUCGGGUUGUAAAGCACUUUUGGCAGGAAAGAAACGUCAUGGGUUAAUACCCCGUGAAACUGACGGUACCUGCAGAAUAAGCACCGGCUAACUACGUGCCAGCAGCCGCGGUAAUACGUAGGGUGCAAGCGUUAAUCGGAAUUACUGGGCGUAAAGCGUGCGCAGGCGGUUCGGAAAGAAAGAUGUGAAAUCCCAGAGCUUAACUUUGGAACUGCAUUUUUAACUACCGAGCUAGAGUGUGUCAGAGGGAGGUGGAAUUCCGCGUGUAGCAGUGAAAUGCGUAGAUAUGCGGAGGAACCACCGAUGGCGAAGGCAGCCUCCCUGGGAUAAC